rnacentral:lncRNA from 1 species
AUGAAUUUACGUUAUUUAUAGUUUAAUGUUAUUUGUUUGUAAAUAUUUAAUUAGGAUAGAAGUUAAGGUCGAAUCCAUGUAACAAAGUAGCGAGCUAAAGCAUAUAGGUCGUGGUACACUUUCGGGCAAUACAUCGUACAGUGAGUAGCUACACAUUGAACAAGAAAAGAAGAUGUGAUCCAAGUUACCCUCCUCUUGCCCGCAUUGGCAUAAUGAGUUCGCGCGGACACCAAUCAUAGCCAGAAAUAACGGAGUGCAUACUUUUCCCAAUCGCAACCGGCAAAUUGUGGAUAUAACCCAUUUAGGAGAAUUACGAAAACGAUAGAACCACGGCUUCCGAGUGAUACGAGGUUGCACACAUCCAUAGUGCUUGCCCGUCUGCAAUUUCGAGAUAUCCCAUUGCUCCUGCCAUGUGGCAAACAUGUCUGCGAGUGCGCCACUCAAAAGCCUCAAGGAUAGCAACUGCUUCGCCUGUAAAAAUUGAAGAUUGUGGAGGACAUUUAAAUGGGAGAGCUAUAUUGUAUCGAGGAAUCCACACUGCUGCUCCCACGCAACUGGUCGCAUCCAUCUUGGAAGCGUCAGUAAACAUCGUGACCUCCAGCGCCAGCGGCCACAAGCGUGGAAGCAUCAAGUGGCUAUAGUAUGAGCUGCUCUUGAUUAAGAAUCUGUCCGCAAGAUACUGUCUGCGGAGAGCCAGUGGAGGGUCAACACUUUCUACCUGCAUGCCAUUCUUCGGAGAACACCUCAUAGCGCCAAGUAUAAUCCUCAAGCAUUUUGCCUGGAUGAGGUCUAGUUUGUCAAGGCCAUCCUUAUUGCAAGGUUCCAUUAAAAGUGACCCAUAAUCUAUAUGACUGCGUAUGAUGGCAUUAUAUAGUAACUUCUGGCAAUAAGGAUGAGAACCCCACCACACCCCGGACAGUGCUCGUAACUCCUUACUCGGAAUUCUGACACCGUCAUAGUAUACAUCAGUUGUUGGCAUGUUCCUUCUGCGGCUAAAUGUAACAGUACAACUCUUUGUCGGAGAUAGAGUAAGCCCAUGGUCACCGAGCCAAUCCCCAAGGUAACCCAGAGCCGUGUUCAGACUAGCAGUUGCUUUAUCCAUUGACUUUGCCAUCGUAUAUAAGACAAGAUCAUCAGCGUACUGCAAGAUGUUACAGAAGGAUAAGACAGAUUGUUCUAAGUCAUAUGUGUAUAUGUUGUAAAGAAGGGGGCUGAGUACCGAUCCUUGAGGGAGACCUCUCCACAAAGUCCGAGGAGGACAAUAGGAGUUGCCUUGUCUAAUUUUGAUAGACCUGCCCAUGAAUAGCGAGGUGACAAUGUGUACAAUCUUCGCGGGAAUGCUCAGUUGUAGCAUUUUAGCCCUGAGCACCGGAAGAAGCACAUUGUCAUAUGCAGCAGAGAUGUCGAGGAAACAUCCCAGCAGAUAUUCGUUUUUUGAUAAAGUAAGUCUAAUAUCACUCGUUAAAAUGUUUAGGCUAUCCAUAGUGCUACGCCCCUUUCGGAAACCGAACUGUGUGUCUGCUAAAAUUCCAUUGUUUUCCACAAACCAUUCAAGCCUAUUUUUAACCAAGUGUUCUAAUAUCUUUCCCAUUGUUGCAGAAAGAGCGAUUGGUCGAUAGGAAUUAGCCUCGUCUGGGUUUUUAGACGGCUUUAGGAUAGGAAUGACUACCUGGGACUUCCAAUCUGCUGGAACCUCUCCUGUGUUAAAGGCAUGGUUUAUGAUGCCAAGCAGAUAUUCCUGUCCGGGAGUAUUUAGCUUAGACAGGAAACAAUAUGGAAUCCCAUCCUCUCCAGGUGAAGUAUUCCUUAAACCAUUAAUUACCAGGUUAAGCUCUGAAAAUGAGAAGGGCUGGUCGAGAGAACAGGAGGAACGUGGCA